AAAAAGGCCCUUUUCAGGGCCACUAAACUUUUAACUUACUGCAUGU
rfam:Acyrthosiphon pisum strain LSR1 Contig21166, whole genome shotgun sequence.